rnacentral:rRNA from 1 species
UACGGAGGGUGCGAGCGUUGUCCGGAAUCACUGGGCGUAAAGGGCGCGUAGGCGGUCCGGUAAGCGUGUGGUGAAAGCCCGGGGCUCAACCCCGGGUCUGCCGUGCGAACUGCCGGACUCGAGCACUGUAGAGGCAGGUGGAAUUCCGAGUGUAGCGGUGGAAUGCGUAGAGAUUCGGAGGAACACCGGUGGCGAAGGCGGCCUGCUGGGCAGCGUCUGACGCUGGGGCGCGACAGCGUGGGGAGCAAACAGG